rnacentral:rRNA from 1 species
AGAGUUUGAUCCUGGCUCAGGACGAACGCUGGCGGCGUGCUUAACACAUGCAAGUCGAGCGAUGAAGUCCCUUCGGGGACGGAUUAGCGGCGGACGGGUGAGUAACACGUGGGCAACCUGCCUCAAAGAGGGGGAUAGCCUCCCGAAAGGGAGAUUAAUACCGCAUAAUAUUAGAGUGUCACAUGAUACUCUAAUCAAAGGAGUAAUCCGCUUUGAGAUGGGCCCGCGGCGCAUUAGCUAGUUGGUGAGGUAACGGCUCACCAAGGCAACGAUGCGUAGCCGACCUGAGAGGGUGAUCGGCCACAUUGGAACUGAGACACGGUCCAGACUCCUACGGGAGGCAGCAGUGGGGAAUAUUGCACAAUGGGGGAAACCCUGAUGCAGCAACGCCGCGUGAGUGAUGAAGGUCUUCGGAUUGUAAAGCUCUGUCUUUUGGGACGAUAAUGACGUACCAAAGUAGAGC